UACGUAGGGUGCAAGCGUUGUCCGGAAUUACUGGGCGUAAAGCGUGCGCAGGCGGCUUUGCAAGACAGAUGUGAAAUCCCCGGGCUUAACCUGGGAACUGCAUUUGUGACUGCAUGGCUAGAGUGCGGCAGAGGGGGAUGGAAUUCCGCGUGUAGCAGUGAAAUGCGUAGAUAUGCGGAGGAACACCGAUGGCGAAGGCAAUCCCCUGGGCCUGCACUGACGCUCAUGCACGAAAGCGUGGGGAGCAAACAGG
rnacentral:rRNA from 1 species